GACGAACGCUGGCGGCGUGCUUAACACAUGCAAGUCGAACGGAAAGGCCCUGCUUUUGUGGGGUGCUCGAGUGGCGAACGGGUGAGUAACACGUGAGUAACCUGCCCUUGACUUUGGGAUAACUUCAGGAAACUGGGGCUAAUACCGGAUAGGAGCUCCUGCUGCAUGGUGGGGGUUGGAAAGUUUCGGCGGUUGGGGAUGGACUCGCGGCUUAUCAGCUUGUUGGUGGGGUAGUGGCUUACCAAGGCUUUGACGGGUAGCCGGCCUGAGAGGGUGGCCGGCCACAUUGGGACUGAGAUACGGCGCAGACUCCUACGGGAGGCAGCAGUGGGGAAUAUUGCACAAUGGGCGGAAGCCUGAUGCAGCAACGCCGCGUGCGGGAUGACGGCCUUCGGGUUGUAAACCGAUUUCGCCUGUGACGAAGCGUGAGUGACGGUAAUGGGUAAAGAAGCACCGGCUAACUACGUG
rnacentral:rRNA from 1 species